rnacentral:lncRNA from 1 species
AUCAGCAGCAUUCUCCCUCCCUUCAAAAAAAAAAAAAAAAAAAAAGGAAAUGGGAAAGUAUUGCAAGCUUUGGAAUCAUACAAGUUACUAAAGUCCAGAAUUUUUUACUUUGAUAAAUACAUUUCUCCAAGAUUAAUGUUAUCAUCAGAAUUCCUUGUUUUGGGUAGAGCCCUUCCCACUUUUUUUUCUUAAAAUAUUUUUUAUUUAUUUUGUUAAAUAUUUUCAAAUUACAGUACGAAAAUUUUAACAAUCACUUAAAUGUGAUUCUAAUUUCUCUUCCUCCUUUCCCUCAUCUCUCCUGUCCUUGAAAAGGUAAGCAAUUUAAUAUCAGUUUUACACAUGAAGUCAUGUAAAACAUUUCCAUAUUAGCCAUAUUGAAAAAGGAAAACACAAACAAAAUAAAACAAUAAAAAUAGAUUUUUUUAAAAGUAUGCUUCAAUCUGUAUAUAGAGUUAAGGUAAAUAGUAUUUUUCAUCAAAGGUUCUUUAGAAUUGUCUUGGGUCAUUGUCUUGAUCAGAGUAACUAAAUCUUUCAGAUAGUCAUCCUUAUAAUAUGCUGUUAUGGUAUACAAUGCUCUCUUGCUCUCUUCACUUCAUUUUGCAUUAGUUCAUGUAAGUCUUCUAGAUUUUUCUGAAGCUAAUCAUUUUUAAUGCAUAAUAUUAUGCUAUCAUAAUCAAACUUGUUCAGUAAUUCCCAAUUUACAAAUAUUCUCUAAAUUUCCAAUUCUUUGCUCUCAGGAAUCAUUGGAUUCUCUGAGAAAUGAUUUGCCUCCAUAAAAAGAGCGGCUGUAAAUAUUUUGUAUAACGAUCCUUUUCUCUUUUCUUUGAUCUCUUUGGGAUCCGGACCAACAAGUGAUAUUGUUGGAUUAAAAGAUAUGCACAGUUUUAUAACCCUUAGAGAAAAUUCCACAUUGUUCUCUAGAAUAGUUGGACUAGUUUACAAUUCCAUCAAUAGUGCAUUAAUGUCCCAGUUUUUUCACAACACCUCCAACAUUUGUCUUUUUCCUUUUCUGAAUUCUCUAGAAUUCCUAUUCUACCUAAUAAGAUAGAUGUGGUUUGAUAUCUCAGAGUUGUUUUAAUUUUCAUUUCUCUAAUCAAUAGAGAGUUAGUGCAUUUUUAUGUGAUUAUUAAUUGAUAGUCUUGAUUUCUUCUGAAAAUGCCUGUUUGUAUCCUUUGACCAUUUAUCAAUGGGAAAUGGCUCUCAUUUUUAUAAAUUCGGCUCAGUUUUCUAUGUAUUUGAGAAAUGAAGCCUUUACCAGAGAAACUUGCUAUAAAAUUUUUUCUUUGGUUUUCUUUUUCCACUUUAUUUUGGCUGUAUUAGUUUUAUUUAUACAAAAGCUUUUUAAUUUCAUUUUAUUCAUAUUCAAUGACUAUUCAAAUCAAUAGUCAUAUUAUUCAGAUUUAUCCAUUUUUCAUAUUGGGAU